rnacentral:rRNA from 1 species
AUUGAACGCUGGCGGCAGGCCUAACACAUGCAAGUCGAGCGGAUGAAGGGAGCUUGCUCCUGGAUUCAGCGGCGGACGGGUGGGUAAUGCCUAGGAAUCUGCCUGGUAGUGGGGGAUAACGUCCGGAAACGGGCGCUAAUACCGCAUACGUCCUGAGGGAGAAAGUGGGGGAUCUUCGGACCUCACGCUAUCAGAUGAGCCUAGGUCGGAUUAGCUAGUUGGUGGGGUAAAGGCCUACCAAGGCGACGAUCCGUAACUGGUCUGAGAGGAUGAUCAGUCACACUGGAACUGAGACACGGUCCAGACUCCUACGGGAGGCAGCAGUGGGGAAUAUUGGACAAUGGGCGAAAGCCUGAUCCAGCCAUGCCGCGUGCGUGAAGAAGGUCUUCGGAUUGUAAAGCACUUUAAGUUGGGAGGAAGGGCAGUAAGUUAAUACCUUGCUGUUUUGACGUUACCAACAGAAUAAGCACCGGCUAACUUCGUG